AACAAGGCGUACCUGCGGACCUGCGGAGGGAUCAUUACCGAGUUUACAACUCCCAAACCCCUGUGAACAUACCUAUACGUUGCCUCGGCGGAUCAGCCCGCGCCCUGUAAAACGGGACGGCCCGCCCGAGGACCCUAAACUCUGUUUUUAGUGGAACUUCUGAGUAAAACAAACAAAUAAAUCAAAACUUUCAACAAUGGAUCU
rnacentral:misc_RNA from 1 species